UUGUGAACGCAUAUGUGGCGCAAUUACAUCAUCAAAUAUUGGUUUGAUAUAAAUACGCAGUUGAGGUAUCGAUGUAUACCAGUGCGAGGAAAAAUUAGAAACAGUGCAUCUCAAAAUAUUCGAGAAACGACAGAAUGAAGACUCUCAUAUUUGUGGCAUGUAUGUUGACAAUUUCCUAUGCGAUUAAUCUUGAAAACAUGAAGAAAUACAACAGUAUCCACACAAAAUGUAUCGAGGAAUUGAAUGCGCAGGGCGACUACCCACCGAAUGUGGUUUUGUGUAUGAUGGAAAAGUACGAACUGCUUGACGAACAGGGUUUAAUUGUUAAAGAAAAAGUUUUCAACAAUUGAACAACCUUAUUUCCGAUAAAACCAAGUUACGUCAUGCGAAAGAGUAUGUUGGCUUGUGUAUCGACCAAGCAAAUGAACGUUCAGAAAGUAACAACGAGAAAACUUUGGAAGCUAUAAAAUGCGGAACAGGAGUAGUACAUCUAUUUGAUAAAAUGGAAUAAAAAGAAAAAAUUACAUUCCUUCUUAUGAGUAAUAUUCAUAAAAUAAUAGCUUUAUAGAGAAGUCCACGCAUAAUUAAAUACUAAUAAUUCUCACUUUCUAUAUACUAAUGUAUUGUCGAGAAUUUUAAAGGUUUCUGGUCUCUUAAACUUAAAUUGUAUGCCUAUGUUUCAAUAAAAUAUGAUGUAUAAAA